rnacentral:sRNA from 1 species
AGCUUAACAAGAUAAAUCAACAAAGAACAAAAUCAGAAGAAUAAAAAAAACCAAUCAUAAAAAGAAAUUAUUGCACUCAUGCUUCUUCUUAAAG